CUCAGAACAAUUUCUUCCCUUUCAGGAAGAGAGACUAAGCCCCACACACAUUCACUGUAUCUGCUCCUGAAGUCAGAAUUGCUAUAUCCAGUUCCUGGCAGACAAAGAAAAUGAAAUAUACCUCAUCUGUGCUCCAUUUGGAAACUUUACUGGCAGGAAUUCCAGCUACGGUGGGGAGAAGUUUGCUCUGCUGCUCCCAGCGCAAGGGCAGACAUGGAAUUGGUGAUUUAAAGGACAGAAAGACAGCCGACCGGCGCUGUGCUUGUUGUAGGCUAGGUUCUUCCCGGGCACCUGCUGGAUUGAAACAAACCGGAACUCACUCUCUGAAA
rnacentral:lncRNA from 1 species